rnacentral:rRNA from 1 species
AUUGAACGCUGGCGGCAUGCUUUACACAUGCAAGUCGAACGGCAGCACAGGGAGCUUGCUCCCGGGUGGCGAGUGGCGCACGGGUGAGUAAUACAUCGGAACGUGUCCUGUUGUGGGGGAUAACUGCUCGAAAGGGUGGCUAAUACCGCAUGAGACCUGAGGGUGAAAGCGGGGGAUCGCAAGACCUCGCGCAAUUGGAGCGGCCGAUGCCCGAUUAGCUAGUUGGUGAGGUAAAGGUUCACCAAGGCGACGAUCGGUAGCUGGUCUGAGAGGACGACCAGCCACACUGGGACUGAGACACGGCCCAGACUCCUACGGGAGGCAGCAGUGGGGAAUUUUGGACAAUGGGGGCAACCCUGAUCCAGCCAUGCCGCGUGCAGGAUGAAGGCCUUCGGGUUGUAAACUGCUUUGUCAGGGACGAAAAGGACCGUGUUAAUACCAUGGUCUGCUGACGGUACCUGAAGAAUAAGCACCGGCUAACUACGUG